rnacentral:lncRNA from 1 species
CUUGGAUUAUCAAAAUAUAUUCUGCUGCUUAAGUUUGAAUGAAAACUAUUUUAUUUCAUUAAUUUCCAAAUGUAGCAUCAAUAUUUAGAAAAAAAUUGAGGCUCCUUAAUUUGGAAGUUAGAUUUCUGGCAGUUCAAAUUUCUGGACAAAGCUGUGAGUCAGUCUUCAAACAUCUUCAUGUUCAUACCUUUAGAACAUUCAGUGCUGAUGAUUCAAAGUCACCAACAAAAUUUUCUUUCUUCUUGCAUCUUGAUUUACCAAGGCACAAAUUGAAACUAUAUAAACACAGAAGAAAGAGAAAUUUACUCAAGAGGAACCGAUAAAUAACUUUACAAAAUUUCAGGUAUGAUUUGACUUUCAAGUGUAGACAAAACAUUGAGAUAAGAAAAAUGACCAUUACA